GGAAUUCGAUUCAGGCCUAACACAUGCAAGUCGAGCGGGGUUUUCGGACCUAGAGACGGACGGGUGAGUAAUGCGUAGGAAGCUACCCGAUAGAGGGGGAUACCAGUUGGAAACGACUGUUAAUACCGCAUAAUGUCUACGGACCAAAGUGUGGGACCUUCGGGCCACAUGCUAUCGGAUGCGCCUACGUGGGAUUAGCUAGUUGGUGGGGUAAUGGCUCACCAAGGCGACGAUCCCUAGCUGGUUUGAGAGGAUGAUCAGCCACACUGGAACUGAGACACGGUCCAGACUCCUACGGGAGGCAGCAGUGGGGAAUAUUGGACAAUGGGCGCAAGCCUGAUCCAGCCAGGCCGCGUGUGUGAAGAAGGCCUUCGGGUGUAAAUCAAAGGCAGUAGGGAGGAAGGGUGUUGUGUUAAUAGCACAGCAUUUGACGUACUACAGAAG
rnacentral:rRNA from 1 species